GCCCGCCACCGACCUUGCCCCUUCUGUCUCGUGUUCAUCGACCGGCGGUUUAUUUGGUCUUUCUUAUUCUGGUUUUCUUGGCGCCGCUGAUCGACUACUUUCCAACCAUUGAUUCGUGGAGAUCUGAAACCCUUAGGAACCUUGAGGAACGAGUACGAUCGCCGCAGCCGUGCCGAAGGUGGCGGUUCCUAUUUCUCAACAGCCCUAGAAUUGAUUAGACAAGGUUAACGACUCCGCUCUGUGGCAGGACUGGAUCUUCCCGCUCUCAUAAUCUUCGAACCAUCCUUUCUCUCUCUCUCUCUCUCUCUCUCUCUCGCUCGCUCGUUCGCUAAUUCGACCAAUCGGUGCCCCGUUGGUAAUCUUUGAAAAGGAUUUCGACAAGGAAAAAAUGAUUGAAGUUGUCGAAAGAAGAACGAAAGAUUAAAUCUUGCAGAUUCAACUGAUUUGGAUCGAAUGUAGGGUUCCAGUAUAUUGUUGUACGACGCAAAAGGUUUUCCAUUUCUUGAAUUCCUUGGUAGUGUUUGAUUACAGUUGUUGGUUUUAUACUAGAUGCAACUUCUACUAGUUGAUGAAUAAAGCAGGAAAAUAUGGAUUAUUAGGUGUUUCAUUCUUUCCAGCCCUUGGGUUUCUCCUUUAUUGAGGGAGGUAAGUUUUUUAUCAUACUCUUCCCUGAUAUGUGAUCCAUCCAGUCUUAAUGUGUUUUCUUCAAAUUUUUGUAAUUUUCAGUCUCUCUGUUGUUACUCAUGUCCUUGUUGCAAAUCAAUCAUAGAGUUCAUAUUUGAUUAGCAAGAUAACUCAAACCUAAAAUAUCAUGCUCAUUUAUACCUUUAUUUAUCAUCCUUGCUUCUGUUUUGGUACGUAAGAAUCAUUUAGUUAUAUCUACUUCAUCUGAUGACGGGUGUUCUAAGAUUUAUACAAUUCUUGUGGUGUCUCUGCUUGAUCUAUAUGGCCAUUAUGAUUGGUUGCAGGUAUGCUCUAACUUAGAUGAGUGGGUUAUCUCAUAACAUGUGUGCAUGACAAGAUUUAAAAUCUCAUGGUAUACUACUUGUACCAGGUGGUAUCUGCUGGAGUGUUACAUGGUCAGUCUAGCGGUAUACAGUGAUUCAGGGCAAACCAGCCUUCAAUGCCUUAAAUGAUACAGUUCAAGUAUUGUACUGGUCCAGCUUGUGAUUUUAAUGGUAUAUUGCCUGUACCAGGGGGUCUAUGCUGGACUGGUAAAUCGACAGUCAACUACCAGGUAAUAUUCAGUGAUUCAGGUUGGAUUUGCCACAACUGUAUGUUUCUCUUGUUUCUUGCCGGGAUGCAUCUUGAAAGUUCAAUCCCUGGAAAACAGUUCUUGGUUUAAAUGCAAUUGACAAAGCUAUAGACCUCGACGUUCUCAGCAUCAUGGUCAGCAUCAGAGUAUCCAAACUCCAUCAAUUGAGUUCAUGUGCUCAUUCUCUGCUGGCUGCAGUGUUGUUGUUGAUGCAGCAAGGCGCACAAGACAGAGGAGCUACGGCUGAAGAUGUGAAUGAUGAAGCCGCAGCCACUGGGUGUCAUCUUCACAUAAACGUGAGACAUGAAUCCUUGUCCUUUUCCACAGUUUGCUCGUGCAUUACAAUUAACAUGGCUGAUGGGCAUCCCCAGCGGUACGGCACACUCAAUCCGAAUAAAGAUUGGAACAUGGCUCACCACAUGGUGGUCCUUUUUGACUUUGACCAGCCACGUGCACUCAAAUUUUGCACGUCAGCACACACAUUAAACGAACACUAGACUCUAUUAUCAUUUUUAUUUAAAAUCCAUAGGCCUUUAUUUGUUGGAAUAA